rnacentral:rRNA from 1 species
GAUGAACGCUGACAGAAUGCUUAACACAUGCAAGUCGAUGGGGAAGUGGUGCUUGCACCAUGGCAACCAUGGCGGACGGGUGAGUAACGCGUAAGGGACUUACCUGCAGGACUGGGAUAACAGGGGGAAACUCCUGACAAGACCGGAUAAUGUCAUGGAGCUGCAUGGCUUUAUGAUGAAAGGAGACGCCUGCGGAGAGCCUUGCGUCCUAUUAGCUAGUUGGUGAGGUAAUGGCUCACCAAGGCGAAGAUAGGUAGCCGGCCUGAGAGGGUGGACGGCCACAAGGGGACUGAGAUACGGCCCUUACUCCUACGGGAGGCAGCAGUGGGGAAUAGUGGACAAUGGGGGCAACCCUGAUCCAGCAAUUCUGUGUGCACGAAGAAGGUUUUCGGAGUGUAAAGUGCUUUCAGCAGGGAAGAAGUAAGUGACGGUACCUGCAGAAGAAGCGACGGCUAAAUACGUG